rnacentral:tRNA from 3 species
CGGGGCGUGGCGCAGCUUGGUAGCGCGUCUGAUUUGGGAUCAGAAGGCCGCAGGUUCAAAUCCUGUCGCCCCGACCA